rnacentral:rRNA from 1 species
AUGGCAAGUUCCAGCUCGCAAGGACGGCGGGGGAAGGAAACAGCGGACGAGUUGUUGGCACGGCUGAACCUACAGGAGGAGGAGGAUGAUGACUUUGUUUGGGAAGAAGAGCUGCCGGACUUGGGAGAGCCGGCGAAGUGGCUAGCUAUAGCCCGAGUGCAUACACCAAAAACUUUUAGCCCUAAUGCUCUGUACGGGGACAUGCGUGCGGCGUAGAAUCCCGCGAGGACUGUGGUUUGGAGGAAGAUCAAGGAUAAUCUGUUCACGGUCCAAUUUGUUUGUCUUGGUGAUUGG